CCGGAUGGCAUUGAUCAAAGAUGAUUUGCCAGAUCUCGACUCCCCUGUGACGGCGAUAUUGAACUCAACGCCUGACAAAUUCUUAAACGUCUGCACCACGGAAGCUGCUUCUAAGAAGUUUCCUGCUUUGAUAGCAGCCUCGAUCUGUUUAAUUUGCUCCAUUGACAUACCAGGAAGAAUAUUUCUGUAUUCUGCAUAUAGAUCACCAUUGAAUGUAUGGGGACCGUCAGAGCCAUCAAAUUCUGCAGAAAUAAUCGACACUGCUUAGGAGGAGACUGAAAGGGAAUCCAGGGAGAAAUAAGCCCCAAAGAGACCUGGGUAGAAAUACAAUUCUUGUGUGUUGGUGAUGGGAAACUGUCCUGACAGAAGGGCCCUGCACGUAUGUAAAUAGCUGGGUCCAAGUCCACUUUGGUGCGUACAAAGAAAAACUUCUUUCCCAUCUUCUGGAUCUCCCGGGCCAGCUUGGUGUGGCAGAAUCUGCUCCUCUCUGAAGCGAUGAUGAUGAAGACAUCAUAGCGGCUGAACUUCACUUGUUUCAGAUAAGCGUCUGGCCGAUAAUUUGGGGUUCCAAUUGCCGGCAGGUCCCAGAAGGUAACCAUAGGACACAUAGGAUGACAAUAGGGUACUGGUUCUUUGGUCAUUUCCACCACACCGGUCCCAGCAGCGCCUUCGCCUUCAGCUCCCAGGCCCCGGAUGGCAUUGACCAAAGAUGAUUUGCCAGAUCUCGACUCCCCUGUGACGGCGAUAUUGAACUCAACACCUGACAAAUUCUUAAACGUCUGCACCACGGAAGCUGCUUCUAAGAAGUUUCCUGCUUUGAUAGCAGCCUCGAUCUGUUUAGUUUGUUCCACAGGUAUACCAGGAAGAGUGUUUCUAUAUUCUGCAUAUAGGUCAUCACAGGUACGUUUGAGAUCAGCCAUCUCCCUGGGAAAAGAAAUGGUUGCGGUUAGUCUUUGUA